rnacentral:rRNA from 1 species
UACGUAGGGUGCGAGCGUUAAUCGGAAUUACUGGGCGUAAAGCGUGCGCAGGCGGUUUUGUAAGCCAGAUGUGAAAUCCCCGGGCUUAACCUGGGAAUGGCAUUUGGGACUGCAAGGCUCGAGUGCGGCAGAGGAGACUGGAAUUCCGGGUGUAGCGGUGAAAUGCGUAGAUAUCCGGAGGAACACCGGUGGCGAAGGCGGCUUCCUGGACCGACACUGACGCUGAGGCGCGAAAGCUAGGGGAGCAAACGGG